UACGUAGGAUGCAAGCGUUGUCCGGAUUUACUGGGCGUAAAGCGCGCGCAGGCGGCAAGGUAAGUAAGGUGUGAAAUAUCCCGGCUCAACCGGGAGGGUGCACUUUAGACUGCUUUGCUUGAGGUCGGUAGAGGGGGGUGGAAUUGCUGGUGUAGCGGUGAAAUGCGUAGAGAUCAGCAGGAACACCCGUGGCGAAGGCGGCCCCCUGGGCCGUACCUGACGCUGAGGCGCGAAGGCUAGGGGAGCGAACGGG
rnacentral:rRNA from 1 species